AACGAACGCUGGCGGCAUGCCUAACACAUGCAAGUCGAACGAGAUCUUCGGGUCUAGUGGCGCACGGGUGCGUAACGCGUGGGAAUCUGCCCUUUGGUUCGGAAUAACAGUUGGAAACGACUGCUAAUACCGGAUGAUGACGAAAGUCCAAAGAUUUAUCGCCAGAGGAUGAGCCCGCGUAGGAUUAGCUAGUUGGUGUGGUAAAGGCGCACCAAGGCGACGAUCCUUAGCUGGUCUGAGAGGAUGAUCAGCCACACUGGGACUGAGACACGGCCCAGACUCCUACGGGAGGUAGCAGUGGGGAAUAUUGGACAAUGGGCGAAAGCCUGAUCCAGCAAUGCCGCGUGAGUGAUGAAGGCCUUAGGGUUGUAAAGCUCUUUUACCCGGGAUGAUAAUGACAGUACCGGGAGAAUAAGCUCCGACUAACUCCGUGCCAGCCGCCGCAGUAA
rnacentral:rRNA from 1 species